AGCGUACACGGUGGAUGCCCUGGCAGUCAGAGGCGAUGAAGGACGUGCUAAUCUGCGAUAAGCGUCGGUAAGGUGAUAUGAACCGUUAUAACCGGCGAUUUCCGAAUGGGGAAACCCAGUGUGAUUCGUCACACUAUCAUUAACUGAAUCCAUAGGUUAAUGAGGCGAACCGGGGGAACUGAAACAUCUAAGUACCCCGAGGAAAAGAAAUCAACCGAGAUUCCCCCAGUAGCGGCGAGCGAACGGGGAGCAGCCCAGAGCCUGAAUCAGUGUGUGUGUUAGUGGAAGCGUCUGGAAAGGCGUGCGAUACAGGGUGACAGCCCCGUACACAAAAAUGCACAUGCUGUGAGCUCGAUGAGUAGGGCGGGACACGUGGUAUCCUGUCUGAAUAUGGGGGGACCAUCCUCCAAGGCUAAAUACUCCUGACUGACCGAUAGUGAACCAGUACCGUGAGGGAAAGGCGAAAAGAACCCCGGCGAGGGGAGUGAAAAAGAACCUGAAACCGUGUACGUACAAGCAGUGGGAGCACAGAGCAAUCUGUGUGACUGCGUACCUUUUGUAUAAUGGGUCAGCGACUUAUAUUCUGUAGCAAGGUUAACCGAAUAGGGGAGCCGAAGGGAAACCGAGUCUUAACUGGGCGUUAAGUUGCAGGGUAUAGACCCGAAACCCGGUGAUCUAGCCAUGGGCAGGUUGAAGGUUGGGUAACACUAACUGGAGGACCGAACCGACUAAUGUUGAAAAAUUAGCGGAUGACUUGUGGCUGGGGGUGAAAGGCCAAUCAAACCGGGAGAUAGCUGGUUCUCCCCGAAAGCUAUUUAGGUAGCGCCUCGUGAAUUCAUCUCCGGGGGUAGAGCACUGUUUCGGCAAGGGGGUCAUCCCGACUUACCAACCCGAUGCAAACUGCGAAUACCGGAGAAUGUUAUCACGGGAGACACACGGCGGGUGCUAACGUCCGUCGUGAAGAGGGAAACAACCCAGACCGCCAGCUAAGGUCCCAAAGUCAUGGUUAAGUGGGAAACGAUGUGGGAAGGCCCAGACAGCCAGGAUGUUGGCUUAGAAGCAGCCAUCAUUUAAAGAAAGCGUAAUAGCUCACUGGUCGAGUCGGCCUGCGCGGAAGAUGUAACGGGGCUAAACCAUGCACCGAAGCUGCGGCAGCGACGCUUAUGCGUUGUUGGGUAGGGGAGCGUUCUGUAAGCCUGCGAAGGUGUGCUGUGAGGCAUGCUGGAGGUAUCAGAAGUGCGAAUGCUGACAUAAGUAACGAUAAAGCGGGUGAAAAGCCCGCUCGCCGGAAGACCAAGGGUUCCUGUCCAACGUUAAUCGGGGCAGGGUGAGUCGACCCCUAAGGCGAGGCCGAAAGGCGUAGUCGAUGGGAAACAGGUUAAUAUUCCUGUACUUGGUGUUACUGCGAAGGGGGGACGGAGAAGGCUAUGUUGGCCGGGCGACGGUUGUCCCGGUUUAAGCGUGUAGGCUGGUUUUCCAGGCAAAUCCGGAAAAUCAAGGCUGAGGCGUGAUGACGAGGCACUACGGUGCUGAAGCAACAAAUGCCCUGCUUCCAGGAAAAGCCUCUAAGCAUCAGGUAACAUCAAAUCGUACCCCAAACCGACACAGGUGGUCAGGUAGAGAAUACCAAGGCGCUUGAGAGAACUCGGGUGAAGGAACUAGGCAAAAUGGUGCCGUAACUUCGGGAGAAGGCACGCUGAUAUGUAGGUGAAGUCCCUCGCGGAUGGAGCUGAAAUCAGUCGAAGAUACCAGCUGGCUGCAACUGUUUAUUAAAAACACAGCACUGUGCAAACACGAAAGUGGACGUAUACGGUGUGACGCCUGCCCGGUGCCGGAAGGUUAAUUGAUGGGGUCAGCGCAAGCGAAGCUCUUGAUCGAAGCCCCGGUAAACGGCGGCCGUAACUAUAACGGUCCUAAGGUAGCGAAAUUCCUUGUCGGGUAAGUUCCGACCUGCACGAAUGGCGUAAUGAUGGCCAGGCUGUCUCCACCCGAGACUCAGUGAAAUUGAACUCGCUGUGAAGAUGCAGUGUACCCGCGGCAAGACGGAAAGACCCCGUGAACCUUUACUAUAGCUUGACACUGAACAUUGAGCCUUGAUGUGUAGGAUAGGUGGGAGGCUUUGAAGUGUGGACGCCAGUCUGCAUGGAGCCGACCUUGAAAUACCACCCUUUAAUGUUUGAUGUUCUAACGUUGACCCGUAAUCCGGGUUGCGGACAGUGUCUGGUGGGUAGUUUGACUGGGGCGGUCUCCUCCUAAAGAGUAACGGAGGAGCACGAAGGUUGGCUAAUCCUGGUCGGACAUCAGGAGGUUAGUGCAAUGGCAUAAGCCAGCUUGACUGCGAGCGUGACGGCGCGAGCAGGUGCGAAAGCAGGUCAUAGUGAUCCGGUGGUUCUGAAUGGAAGGGCCAUCGCUCAACGGAUAAAAGGUACUCCGGGGAUAACAGGCUGAUACCGCCCAAGAGUUCAUAUCGACGGCGGUGUUUGGCACCUCGAUGUCGGCUCAUCACAUCCUGGGGCUGAAGUAGGUCCCAAGGGUAUGGCUGUUCGCCAUUUAAAGUGGUACGCGAGCUGGGUUUAGAACGUCGUGAGACAGUUCGGUCCCUAUCUGCCGUGGGCGCUGGAGAACUGAGGGGGGCUGCUCCUAGUACGAGAGGACCGGAGUGGACGCAUCACUGGUGUUCGGGUUGUCAUGCCAAUGGCACUGCCCGGUAGCUAAAUGCGGAAGAGAUAAGUGCUGAAAGCAUCUAAGCACGAAACUUGCCCCGAGAUGAGUUCUCCCUGACUCCUUGA
rnacentral:rRNA from 1 species